CUUCAUGUAAAUAAACAUAUACAGCAAAACUUUCUCAUCACUUAACACGGAUUUGUUCUUCAAAUUCAUUUUUAAUACAUCCACCUAAAUCUUCUUUAUUCUCUUUCUUUUAAAGCACCUUAAGCAGUAUCGAAGAUCCCCUCCUUGCCAAAAUAUUGUAGCUUUUCAUAGAUACUCUGCAAGACUGCAACUGUUAUGUCUUCAUCUACAUCACCAUAUAUAAGCAUCUUUCACUAAUCUUAUGCUAAAGGAGCCUUAUAGGUAUCAGCACAUUUUGAAACCCAAUCUCCAGCAGAGUUUGAGAUUCCUGAUGCCAGAGUGUUUUUCUUCUAAGUAGUAAAAGGGAAGAGAACCUCAGUUAAAAAAAAAAACAAAAACAAAAACAAAAAACAAGUACAUCUAAAUAUUUCCAUCAGUGCAACAAAACAUGAAGUUACCAAAACAGAAGCAGAAGAACAACAAAUCUAAAGCAGAAAUAUGACUGCACUAUAUGAAAAUGUCAUGUACUAGUCCAUGGUUGACUGGCAUCCAAAUCAAGCUCCCAAAUGACAUUUUAUUGGAUGUUCACAUCUAAUUUAACAAGCAGUGGAGCUUAUUUAUAAACUUUUACAAAUCUCAUGUCAAGAUAUAUAUAUAGAUUGGUAAUAAUGAGCUUAUAGAUUGGCUUGCUCUUGUUGUUUACUUUCUAAUCGCAUCAUCAAGCAAUUAGUCAUUGCAUAUUCAAAGAGUGAAUUGGUUUUUAAUCACUUUUUUUUUUUUUUUGAGAGACAGAGAGAGAGUAUAAUGAAGUAUACCACCAUCAAGCCAUGAUACAGAUUAUAUCACCCAAUGGAAAUACUUACCUCGGAUGCUGCUGACAGCUUACAAUUAGCUACAAACCUAGAAGGAAAUUGACAAAGGUGCCACACAAUAAAGCUGUCACUGUAAGGAACGGAUCUGGUGGGAAAUUUAUACCUAGCCUAUUAACUUUGCAAAGUGGCGUUAACAUCAAGGAACAGAGGUACGGUAAUUUUAUGGAGAUGAUCUGGGGACGUUAUACCUUGGAAGUUCUUAACCUAGGCUACAAAAUUAAAGGAGAUUCUGGAUGAAGUUUUACAUAGGAUGAUGGCAUCUAUUGUCAUUGGUCUAGAUGAUGUACGCCUGGCCCUGUCGGUUGUCAACAAGCCAUGCUUCAUUAGGUCUUUAGAUGAUAUGGACCAUAAGUUGUUUCCAUGAAAUCCUUUCUUCUCAGUAGGCUUUUCCAUCGGCCAUGAUUUCAAGCUUGUAAGCCUCAGUAAACUAGGACUGAACUUGAAGUUUUGAAUUUAGCCUUGACCUUCUAGGAUUUUGAUUAUAAGCCAUUUAAAGUUUGUGUUUUCCAUAUAAGAUUCCUAAAGUUGGCUCUCACCAAUUUACUCAGCAUACUAUGAUCUAAUAUUCUAGUAUUCUAGCUUAUAAAAUGACAUUGUUUAUGAGAAAAAGCUACAACCACCCAAAAUGUUUAGAAGAACUAGGCUUUCUUGACCCAUUUGAUUCUUGAAUGAAUCCUAGUGAUGGUUGGUCUUUAAUGAUUUUUUCUUUACACAUCAAAGAACUUUUAUGGGGAUUUUAGUAUUUGAGUCAGAAAUACAAAUAUGCAAUUUCUUAUGUGGGAUUCUUUAGUUUUAAUUUGAAAUUUUUUCUUUGUAUAACCUCUAUACUGUCUUCUCCUUGUCAAACUUAAGAUUAUGUGAUUCGAUUUGCACCUUCAGACUUACUUUGCCUCCUCCUUCACAUCUCAGACUCAUGAAUUUAACAACCUAAUCACCUAGCUGGCAUGAUUCUUGGUGAUUAAGGAUUAAAACAAGACAAAAUAUAUUCUUCAGUCUAGUCAGAUAAUUACAGAAGUUAAGCCUUUCUUUGUUUAGCCAUUAGACAUUAUAUCAGUUGACACAAAAAAGGUGACAAAAUUUGCAUGAACUUGCAUAAUUAGUGCAAUUUGUCAAACCAUACCUAUGAUGCUGUGAUAAGUUAGAGAUAAUUGCUGAUGGAAAAUAAUCAAAGUGAUUGCUUCAUAUCACCAAUGUGCCAACAUCUAUGCUCUAGAAAAAAGUAGCUAGUUAUUACAUGACGACUUCAUUCAUAUAUUUUACCAUCCUUAUGUGACUCUAGACUUUCUGAACAUCAUCAUGUUGUGUUUAUGAUGAUAAUCUGUAUAGCAUAUAUGUCACUCAGUUACUUACAAUUGUUAUCAACAUAGUUUUAACCUUCCGAUAAACUCAUUCAUUAUGCACAUCCUAACACUUGGAAGGAACUGGUGUCAAGCACAAUUACUGAUGAACGUAUAUAUUCUACCAUGCCGUUCAUAUAAAUGAAGUUGGAUCGUAUAUGUGUGCUUAACUUUCAUAUUGUUACACAUACACAUCUGAAUGCAUAAUACCAUUUAGCUAUAUCAAUUUCCUCAAAAAAAAAAAGGCUAUGUAAAAUUUAACCAGCUUUUAGCAGAAUUCAAAUCCAAUGAGAGCAUCAUCGAAACAAAGUACAGGUAGCAACUCUCAUCUAGAUAUUCAUUAAUAACUACCAUGAUAUUCAUUAAUAACUAUCAUGUCAUGAAUUCAAAAUGAUUGCUUAGUGUGGUCUUGAUGCAGGUACGGGAUGAGAAUCCUUUCCACAUGGCUCAGAGUAUAUGCAACAAAUAUAGGGAAGUUGUGAAAGCUAACCAAAUAAAAAAAUGGAGAAGUAAUUAAGCAUAGAAGGAGUAAGCAAGAACGAUACUUAGAAGGCCUCACACUAUCGCAUGCUUCUCAAUCUUGUACCUUUUCACCUUCGAUUUUCACACGAGGCCUCAGUAAGAGUCCUAGCCUCCUAUCCGUAUCUUCUCCCAAACCCCAGCUUUAUACCACGAGUUAAACCAGAAUGUC
rnacentral:lncRNA from 1 species